AAAGUAGCCGCUAGGUUCCACCCUAAGCACAAGUUAAGCCUUCAUUCUCGGACACUGGAUUGUCCUUCAUUUUACAGUUGAUAUACUAGGAGCUACGGAGCUCAGAGGACUACUGAUCUUCGCUUACAAAGAUUUAGAAAAGGCAACUAGAGAUUUUUCUCAAGAGUAUAAGCUUGGAGAAUGAAGCUUUGGAGAUGUCUACAAGGGGGUUCUGAAAAAUGGACAAAACAGUUGCAGUCAAGGAAUUUACAAUUAGUCAAUUCAGUGGAGCAAAGGUGGAUUUCGCUAGCAAAGUGAAGCUUAUAAGCAAUGUUCAUCAUCGAAAUGUUGUCCAUCUUCUUGGAUGCUGUAGCAAUGGCCCGGAACUGCUGUUUGUUUAUGAAUACAUUGAAGGACGCAAUUCUUUCCACAUAUAAUAAUAAGAUCUUGUCAUAUGUUCAUAGAAUCACAAAUUAAACAAUAAGAAAACAACAAUAGAUACCGUUCACCAUCGACUGUGAAGAAUUCGCUGCCAUUAUAUCCUUCACGUACCUUGAUCUCCACCGCAACAAAUACAAAUACAAUGGAUUCUCUA